rnacentral:rRNA from 1 species
UGGCUCAAGAUGAACGCUGGCGGCGUGCCUAACACAUGCAAGUCGAACGGGGUAUAUAAGCGGAAGUUUACGGAUGGAAGGUUAUAUACUUAGUGGCGGACGGGUGAGUAACGCGUGGGCAACCUGCCCCGUGCCGGGGGAUACCGCCUGGAAACAGGCGCUAAUACCGCAUAAGCGCAUACAGCCGCAUGGGUGUAUGCGGAAAGCUCCGGCGGCACGGGAUGGGCCCGCGCCCGAUUAGCCAGUUGGCGGGGUAACGGCCCACCAAAGCGACGAUCGGUAGCCGGCCUGAGAGGGCGGACGGCCACAUUGGGACUGAGACACGGCCCAAACUCCUACGGGAGGCAGCAGUGGGGAAUAUUGCACAAUGGGGGAAACCCUGAUGCAGCAACGCCGCGUGGGUGAAGGAGCGUUUCGGCGCGUAAAGCCCUGUCAGCGGGGAAGAAGAAAGACGGUACCCGACCUAGAAGCCCCGGCUAACUACGUGCCAGCAGCCGCGGUAAUACGUAAGGGGCGAGCGUUAUCCGGAAUUACUGGGUGUAAAGGGAGCGUAGACGGCGAGGUAAGCCUGAAGUGGAAGCCCGCGGCC